AGUUGGAGAUUAUUAUCAUCUGAGCAAAUGAGGAACUUGAUUAUAUUCCGCCAUCGAUGGCUUCUAAAAUGUUGAAGGAAGCCAUAAUUAAUUAUCUUCAAAUGCCUCUUGCAAAGUUGACUUUGGUUUAUGCAAACCAUGUAUAUGAUGAAUAUUCCAUAUAUACCUGAUAUUGCAACUGCAAAGAGUUGAAUAUAUCAACUUUUUUAGUUUUUAUUUUUUAAAUUUUUCUUUCAAGGAGUACUAUAAAUAGUGCAACGUUAACACCUCAAAAUAGAUAGAGGAAAUAUGGCUGAAGGCAACAAAGUUGGUGCAAUAUAUCUUCUCAUUUUGUGUAGUACAAUUCUACUAAGCGUGAAUCCAGCAACUGUGAGGGCAAUAGUAUGCCCUAAUGUAUGCAUGGACUAUGCAGGGUAUAUGACCUGCCCAUCUUCGGGUAGUAAGCAACUCAAUCCGCCUUGCAAUUGCUGCUAUGCUCCAAAGGGUUGCACCAUUUACCAUGCUUCUGGAACUCCAAUUUGUACUGCCACUGGGGCUUGAAUAGUUGAAGGGAUCGGUGGACAUGAUCUGAUGUUAAACAUGUUUUGUUGGAAGUCAUGUUUGAUUUGCAACAUAAAGUUAUCAGUGAGUUGUUACAGAGACGCAAAGAUCAUUAUACUGUCGUAUUAUCUUUUUGUAUUUGUUUUGCCUAUAUGAACCAACCCUUUAGCGGUUUGUAUUUAGCUUGUUCAAUAAAGUUUUAGCCUUUUGUGCUU